rnacentral:rRNA from 1 species
UACGAGGGGGGCAAGCGUUGUUCGGAAUUAUUGGGCGUAAAGGGUGCGUAGGCGGUCUGAUAAGUCAUCCUGUGAAAUCUAUGGGCUCAACCCAUAGUCUGCAGGCGAAACUGUCGGGCUUGAGUAUGGGAGAGGUGAGUGGAAUUUCCGGUGUAGCGGUGAAAUGCGUAGAUAUCGGAAGGAACACCUGUGGCGAAAGCGGCUCACUGGACCAUUACUGACGCUGAUGCACGAAAGCUAGGGGAGCAAACAGG